UUAGUGGCGAACGGGUGAGUAAUAUAUCGGAACGUACCUUGUAAUGGGGGGUAACUAGUCGAAAGAUUAGCUAAUACCGCAUACGCCCUGAGGGGGAAAGUAGGGGAUCUUCGGACCUUACGUUAUAAGAGCGGCCGAUAUCUGAUUAGCUAGUUGGUGGGGUAAUGGCCUACCAAGGCGACGAUCAGUAGCUGGUCUGAGAGGACGACCAGCCACACUGGAACUGAGACACGGUCCAG
rnacentral:rRNA from 1 species